rnacentral:rRNA from 1 species
CCUACGGGCGGCUGCAGUGAGGAAUAUUGGUCAAUGGACGAGAGUCUGAACCAGCCAAGUAGCGUGAAGGAUGACUGCCCUAUGGGUUGUAAACUUCUUUUAUAUGGGAAUAAAAUGUUCCACGUUUGGGAUUUUGUAUGUACCAUAUGAAUAAGGAUCGGCUAACUCCGUGCCAGCAGCCGCGGUAAUACGGAGGAUCCGAGCGUUAUCCGGAUUUAUUGGGUUUAAAGGGAGCGUAGGUGGAUUGUUAAGUCAGUUGUGAAAGUUUGCGGCUCAACCGUAAAAUUGCAGUUGAAACUGGCAGGCUUGAGUACAGUAGAGGUGGGCGGAAUUCGUGGUGUAGCGGUGAAAUGCUUAGAUACCACGAAGAACUCCGAUUGCGAAGGCAGCUCACUGGACUGCAACUGACACUGAGGCUCGAAAGUGUGGGUAUCAAACAGGAUUAGAUACCCCAGUAGUC